UACGGAAGGGGCAAGCGUUGUUCGGAAUCAUUGGGCGUAAAGGGCGCGUAGGUGGUUCUGUAUGUCUACCGUGAAAGCGUACGGCUCAACCGUAUUUUGUCGGUAGAAACUGCAGGACUUGAGGCUGGGAGGGGCUGGUGGAAUUCCCGGUGUAGUGGUGAAAUGCGUAGAUAUCUGGAGGAACACCGGUGGCGAAGGCGGCGUUCUGGUCCCAUACUGACGCUGAGGCGCGAAAGCUAGGGUAGCAAACAGG
rnacentral:rRNA from 1 species